rnacentral:rRNA from 1 species
CCUACGGGAGGCAGCAGUGAGGAAUAUUGGUCAAUGGACGAGAGUCUGAACCAGCCAAGUAGCGUGAAGGAUGACUGCCCUAUGGGUUGUAAACUUCUUUUAUAAAGGAAUAAAACGAGGCACGUGUGCCUUUUUGCAUGUACUUUAUGAAUAAGGAUCGGCUAACUCCGUGCCAGCAGCCGCGGUAAUACGGAGGAUCCGAGCGUUAUCCGGAUUUAUUGGGUUUAAAGGGAGCGUAGAUGGGUUGUUAAGUCAGUUGUGAAAGUUUGCGGCUGAACCGUAAAAUUGCAAUUUAUACUGGCGGUCGUGAUGACAGUUGGAGAAGGGGGAUUUCGUGGGGUACCGGCGAAUGCCUCAGAUAUCACGAAGA